AUGAACGCUAGCUACAGGCUUAACACAUGCAAGUCGAGGGGCAGCAUGGUCUUAGCUUGCUAAGGCCGAUGGCGACCGGCGCACGGGUGAGUAACACGUAUCCAACCUGCCGUCUACUCUUGGACAGCCUUCUGAAAGGAAGAUUAAUACAAGAUGGCAUCAUGAGUUCACAUGUUCACAUGAUUAAAGGUAUUCCGGUAGACGAUGGGGAUGCGUUCCAUUAGAUAGUAGGCGGGGUAACGGCCCACCUAGUCUUCGAUGGAUAGGGGUUCUGAGAGGAAGGUCCCCCACAUUGGAACUGAGACACGGUCCAAACUCCUACGGGAGGCAGCAGUGAGGAAUAUUGGUCAAUGGGCGCAGGCCUGAACCAGCCAAGUAGCGUGAAGGAUGACUGCCCUAUGGGUUGUAAACUUCUUUUAUAAAGGAAUAAAGUCGGGUAUGUAUACCCGUUUGCAUGUACUUUAUGAAUAAGGAUCGGCUAACUCCGUGCCAGCAGCCGCGGUAAUACGGAGGAUCCGAGCGUUAUCCGGAUUUAUUGGGUUUAAAGGGAGCGUAGAUGGAUGUUUAAGUCAGUUGUGAAAGUUUGCGGCUCAACCGUAAAAUUGCAGUUGAUACUGGAUAUCUUGAGUGCAGUUGAGGCAGGCGGAAUUCGUGGUGUAGCGGUGAAAUGCUUAGAUAUCACGAAGAACUCCGAUUGCGAAGGCAGCCUGCUAAGCUGCAACUGACAUUGAGGCUCGAAAGUGUGGGUAUCAAACAGGAUUAGAUACCCUGGUAGUCCACACGGUAAACGAUGAAUACUCGCUGUUUGCGAUAUACAGCAAGCGGCCAAGCGAAAGCGUUAAGUAUUCCACCUGGGGAGUACGCCGGCAACGGUGAAACUCAAAGGAAUUGACGGGGGCCCGCACAAGCGGAGGAACAUGUGGUUUAAUUCGAUGAUACGCGAGGAACCUUACCCGGGCUUGAAAGUUACUGACGAUUCUGGAAACAGGAUUUCCCUUCGGGGCAGGAAACUAGGUGCUGCAUGGUUGUCGUCAGCUCGUGCCGUGAGGUGUCGGCUUAAGUGCCAUAACGAGCGCAACCCUUGUUGUCAGUUACUAACAGGUUCUGCUGAGGACUCUGACAAGACUGCCAUCGUAAGAUGUGAGGAAGGUGGGGAUGACGUCAAAUCAGCACGGCCCUUACGUCCGGGGCUACACACGUGUUACAAUGGGGGGUACAGAGGGCCGCUACCACGCGAGUGGAUGCCAAUCCCUAAAACCCCUCUCAGUUCGGACUGGAGUCUGCAACCCGACUCCACGAAGCUGGAUUCGCUAGUAAUCGCGCAUCAGCCACGGCGCGGUGAAUACGUUCCCGGGCCUUGUACACACCGCCCGUCAAGCCAUGGGAGCCGGGGGUACCUGAAGUGCGUAACCGCGAGGAGCGCCCUAGGGUAAAACUGGUGACUGGGGCU
rnacentral:rRNA from 1 species